GUCACCAAAGGGCCGUCUCUUUCAUCCAUGAAAUGCAGCUAUUCACUCAGCUGCUGUAUGAAUGUGAAUAACAAAUGUAAACUAUAAAUGUCUUCUGGUCAUUGGACAUCAGCUUGUUUGACUUCCUGUCCUCUGGUCUCUUUACAGGUGGUGAUGUCAUCCUGGUGAGUCCUGUCCGUCCUGUGACUGAGGGACAUUCGGUCACUCUUGGCUGCAAGUUGAGGACAGAAAACCUUCUUUAUGAUGUGGAUUUCUAUAAAAAUGACAAACUCGUCCCAAAUGCUGUCAGAGGGGAGCUGCUUAUCUCUGCAGUUACUAAGUCAGAUGAAGGCUUUUAUAAAUGUAGAGGAAGGAAAUCACUUCAAGGUUUGGAGACUUUGACCUCAGCAGAGAGCUGGUUGUCAGUGAAAUAUCCUGAAGAAGCAGCACCAAGCUCUGUGUUUUUUGUGCUGUUGGUUGUUGGUCUGGUUUCUGGAGUUUUACUGAUUAUUCUCCUGCUGCUGUUUCUGUGUCGCUACAGAAAGUCAAAAGCUUCAAGCCUCAGCAGGUCUCAGAGGACCAAUCAGAGCCCAGCUACAGACCACAUGAUCAACCAGGGUGAAACUCAAGACGGACAUUAUGCUUCUCUUCUUCCUGGUGAUUCUUGUCUCUAUGAAACACUCGGAGGCUCUGAAGAACCUGAACAUGGGACGAAUGAUGAACCAGAGGAGAGCGAUUACCAAAAUGUGAGGAUGGAACCAGCUGCAGACGGAUAAAAACAUCUGCAUGAACAGAACCAGGGGAACGGAUGACGACAUGAAAAACCACAUCUUUGUCUUUUGAGUAAAAAUUGAAUGAACUUCUUCUUUCCUGAUGAGACAGUAUUUUGUAGUUACCUAUGAAAACAUAAUUCAAAUACAUUAUACGUCUUUAAAAGUUUUACUUGGUAAAGUGUUGAUUAUUACAUUAUUCAAAUGUUGGUAUUGAGUGUUGUUUUUUAAAGCUUUUGUCGAGAACUUUGAAUGCAGGCUUGUUUGAAAAGUUUAAAAAAAAGUUUGACAUCUUUGAGCGUGAGUACAUUGGUGAUAUUAUUCAAUAUGAAGUAAUUUUAUUUUAUUUCUGAUUUUAAAAAGUUCUACAGAUUUAUUACACAUUUAAUCCGUUGGACAACAUAUUUCUUCAACAUUUAAGUUUAACUUUAAGAGUUUUAACAGGUGCUGUUUGUAUUUUAUCUUCAGCUGUUUGUGUUUAACACAUUUUGUAAUGUUUCAUCUUGUCAUGCAUCAAUAAACUUGCAGCUCUAAGCAGUGUUUCCUACAGUCAUUUCUUUAAAUAAAUACAAAUGAGAGAUUACAGGGAACGUAUGUCUACAUGCUCCUCCUGCAUUCAUCUGGAAUCAAUUGAACUAUUUUUAAAGAGGAAUUUAUUGAAAGUAGUCACUACAGUUAACUGGUGUCUUAAAGCUGAAUUCUUUAACUUUCCACAUAUUGUCUUUUAAAAAGGUUCUCUCUAUCUCUCUACACACACACACACACACACAACUCAGAACUAUGUGCUGUAACAGGAGAACAAGGAUUUAGGACCCAA